AUUGUGGGGCGGAAGAGGAGAGUCACCGCUCUGCUGAGGCCGCCAUCUUGCCUGCGUCCGGACUUGCUCCCGCUUUCUGGGCCUGCUCCUUCUCCUCGCAGCGCAAAGCGGUGAAAAGGGAGAGGACGAGGGGCCCGCUCGGGCGGUGCUGAUGCGCGCAGAGCUUCCUCGCACCUCUCUCAGGCGCCACUAGCGAAGGGGGCGGGGGUGGUCGGGCGGUCGCCGGCGCGGCCUCUCCUCUCCUCUGCCGGGAUGGGUCGGUCCCGCAGCCGGAGCUCGUCCCGCUCCAAGCACACCAAGAGCUCCAAGCACAACAAGAAAAACCGGAGCCGAUCGCGGUCCCGUUCCCGGGAGAAGGAGCGGGCGCGGAAGCGCUCCAAGUCUCGGGAGAGCAAGCGGAACCGGCGCCGCGAGUCCCGGUCCCGGUCCCGCUCCAACACGGCCCCCUCCUCCCGCCGCGACCGGGAGCGGGAGCGCGAUCGCGCCUCCUCCCCGCCCGACCGCAUCGACAUCUUCGGGCGCACGGUGAGCAAGCGCAGCAGCCUGGACGAGAAGCAGAAGCGGGAGGAGGAGGAGAAAAAAGCGGAGUUCGAGCGGCAGCGCAAAAUUCGUCAACAAGAAAUUGAAGAGAAACUCAUAGAGGAAGAAACUGCUCGAAGAGUGGAAGAGCUUGUGGCUAAACGUGUAGAAGAAGAGUUGGAGAAAAGGAAGGAUGAGAUUGAGAGAGAGGUUCUCCGCAGGGUGGAGGAGGCUAAGCGCAUCAUGGAAAAACAGUUGCUCGAAGAACUCGAGCGACAGCGACAAGCUGAACUUGCAGCACAAAAAGCCAGAGAGGUAACGCUCGGUCGUUUGGAAAGUAGAGACAGUCCAUGGCAAAACUUUCAGUGUCGGUUUGUGCCUCCUGUUCGGUUCAGAAAGAGAUGGAAUACAGCAAAUCUAAUUCCCUUCUCGUAUAAACUUGCAUUGCUGCGAAACUUAAUUUCUAGCCUAUUUCAGAGGAGCUCACUGAUACUUAAACAGUUAUUCUCCUAAAACCUGAACAAGGAUACUUGAUUUUUAAUGGAACUGACCUACAUAUUUCAGAAUUGUUUGAAACUUUUGCCAUGGCUGCAGGAUUUAUCAGCGGUCCUUUCAUUUUUGGGGAAGGGUAUUGAAAUCUGUAAUUAUGUAUCCUUCAUUUGUUUCAUUUUGUUUACUUAGACUGUAAGAGGCUUUUGCCUUCAGUCAGGCAAAAAGCAGGGUCCAGCAGUGAGCUGCAGUACCUGUCUUUAACAAAUAGGUUUCUUACUCUUCAUUUAAAAUGAACAUUUUCCUUGAGCAUACAUUGGACUAAUUCUGGGACUUCGAGCAUAAGCCCAUCCACGUCUUCACGAAGGAUCUAUGUCCAAAUCAUUAUAUCCAUUUUUAAUAACUACUAACAACUCCUUUUUUUUUCCCUAGAAGUUAUAAAAGAGCAGGUUGCCCUUGUCUGAAGUCAAGCUGAACAUGUGACUUGGGUUUUUUUUUUUUUUAAUCAGCAGCUGGAGCAGAAGCUGAAAAUGUCUUUCUGUGAGACAGUAAUUUGCUACUAAAGGCUUUGAUGCCUGCCUGCACCAAUCAUUCCAGGAUCCAAAAAUUUCAAGACAAACUUCAAACUGUAAAGGAAAUUUGUGCUAAAUAGUCUUAAGUCUCAAAUGCCUUCUUCACUCUGUACCUCCUACGCAGUUUAUUUUAAAUUAACAUUUUGAUUGGCUUACAAAAGGAAAGAUGGUAGCAAUGAAACUUCCCCCUUCAUACUAAAUGUGACUUGUCUGUCACAUAAUAUCUUUAAAUUAAAACAAAAAUAAAACAACAGAAUACUGAGUUACAGUAAAUAUUAAGAAUAUUAAAUUACACUUGUUUUGCAAAUUCAGACCUUACUAUGAAAGAAUUUAAGUUGAACUUAGAUGUUUUUAGUCAGUGAAUGCUUUGUGUAUACAGGUUUUCAUUUGAUCAGAUGGAUGAUUUUUUUUUUUAAGUAUUUUUGCUAUUGUCAAUGUGAUGUGGAGAAGUCCCAUCAGUUCUUUAUAACGCAGAAUAAACUUCCAUGCCUGGAGUGAAGUGUGCUAGCUAGUAGCUGGUUACUAGUCAUAGUAAGAAGUUUUCUCUUCCUAUGCUUGCUUUGUUCGUAUUAACUUUUUUUUCUUACACAGACACAAACCUCUGGCUAACUUUAAAUCUUCCAAAUAUUAAAAUAAUUCGGAUAUAUAUUACGUGAACUGAAACACCUCAAAAACUUUCACGCAGUCUUCAUAUUUAUGAGUUGCAUAACAGAGUUCCAUAAAAUUCACCAAGAAAACAACAAUUACAAGGCUUUAUUUCCUGAUCUUGCCUUCCCUGGACUCCUGAAUUCCAAGUUCAGACUGCAAAUGACAGUUUCAGCUGUCUUAAAAUUGUCAAAAUAUUGAAUGUUAAGUCCAUUCUCCCCAUGAAAGAAGCCCAUAGCUCCAUGAAGUAUGGAUUACCAUUUGUAUUUUUCACUAACAGUAAAUGUAUUUUUCUUAUUAAUUGUUUGCCUUAGGAAUGAUUUACAUAUUUUUGUUCCUUCUUAUCAUAAACAUCUGCAUUCCUCAGCUCAGCCUUCCUUGUAUGUUGUUUCUUUAUAAAUGGUUGAGCUGCUGAUGCAGGUAUUGCCAAGCUAACAGUACAAAUCAUUUUAAAGAGGAAGCUGGCGCGUAUGGCAGCCGAGGAGCACACUCUGCAGGACACUGGACAAGACAGAAGAAGAGCGUGCAAAGCGUGAGGAACUAGAGC